rnacentral:rRNA from 1 species
UACGUAGGGGGCAAGCGUUGUCCGGAUUUAUUGGGCGUAAAGAGCGUGUAGGCGGCCAAGCAGGUCAGCUGUGAAAACUCGAGGCUCAACCUCGAGACGUCGGUGGAAACCGUCUGGCUAGAGUCCGGAAGAGGAGAGUGGAAUUCCCGGUGUAGCGGUGAAAUGCGCAGAUAUCGGGAAGAACACCCGUGGCGAAGGCGGCUCUCUGGGACGGUACUGACGCUGAGACGCGAAAGCGUGGGGAGCGAACAGG